UUUGUUUUAUUGGGGGACAUGGUAAGAGCCUGCACGUGGCGUCCCCUGCAUCGCGAUAUACGACUCCAGAC